rnacentral:rRNA from 1 species
AUGGACUGCUCGGAGGUCGCCAACCUCUGGACCACUCGCCAUGACUCUCGUUCAGUCGUGGCUCCUAUCCUGUUAGAAAUUGGGGAGCUCUCUAGUAGUUUCACUUUUUUUGAUAUUCGGCAUAUUGUAAGAUCGACCAACGGUCCUGCUCAUAUUUGUGCUAAGCAAGCUUGCAUAAUAGACGUGACAGAAAGCUGGAUCGAUAACACUCCUAGUUUCCUAAUCAGUAGCCUUUUGGCAGACUGCUCGGCCAAUGCCUUUAAGCAAUAA